rnacentral:lncRNA from 1 species
GUACUGGAUUAUAACAUUAUUCUGUUAUUAGCUUACUAGUGACUUUUGUCCUCGGUUUUUUCUCUCUUAGCACAUUCCUGACAUAAGUCAUUGGAUGUGAGCUGAGAGUUCUGAGAAGAGAGAGGAAAUGUAACCUCCUUAGUGUAUGCAUAUAAUUUUACAGAGAGCUGGUUGUUAAGCCUUUACCAGCACAUCCGUGGUAGUGUCUUCCACAGUGGAUGGGAAUGGAGUGGAGGGAAUUCAUCUGAAGGACAUUUCAGAGGAAAAUCAGAUGAGCAAAAGAGUUUUUGAUUGUUCACCGGGAAAGGCCGUCUAAAUCCUUUUGAC